rnacentral:tRNA from 1 species
GAAUAUGAAGCGAUUUAUUGCAAUUAGUUUCGACCUAAUCCUAGGUAUCACAAUACCCUUAUUCU